rnacentral:rRNA from 1 species
AUUGAACGCUGGCGGCAGGCUUAACACAUGCAAGUCGAACGAGUGGCGGACGGGUGAGUAAUGUCUGGGAAACUGCCUGAUGGAGGGGGAUAACUACUGGAAACUGUAGCUAAUACCGCAUACCAUCAGAUGUGCCCAGAUGGGAUUAGCUAGUUGGUGGGGUAACGGCCCACCAAGGCGACGAUCCCUAGCUGGUCUGAGAGGAUGACCAGCCACACUUGGACUGAGACCCGGUCCAGACUCCUACGGGAGGCAGCAGUGGGGAAUAUUGCGAAAUGGGCGCAAGCCUGAUGCAGCCAUGCCGCGUGUAUGAAGAAGGCCUUCGGGUUGUAAAGUACUUUCAGCGGGGAGGCGUUACCCACAGAAGAAGCACCGGCUAACUCCGUGCCAGCAGCCGCGGUAAUUC